GGCCCAUUGGUCAAGUGGUCAAGAUGCCGCAUUCUCAGUGCGGAGACAGGGGUUCGACUCCCCUAUGGGCUG
rnacentral:tRNA from 1 species